rnacentral:rRNA from 1 species
GACGAACGCUGGCGGCGUGCUUAACACAUGCAAGUCGAACGGAAAGGCCCUGCUUUUGUGGGGUGCUCGAGUGGCGAACGGGUGAGUAACACGUGAGUAACCUGCCCUUGACUUUGGGAUAACUUCAGGAAACUGGGGCUAAUACCGGAUAGGAGCUCCUGCUGCAUGGUGGGGGUUGGAAAGUUUCGGCGGUUGGGGAUGGACUCGCGGCUUAUCAGCUUGUUGGUGGGGUAGUGGCUUACCAAGGCUUUGACGGGUAGCCGGCCUGAGAGGGUGACCGGCCACAUUGGGACUGAGAUACGGCCCAGACUCCUACGGGAGGCAGCAGUGGGGAAUAUUGCACAAUGGGCGGAAGCCUGAUGCAGCAACGCCGCGUGCGGGAUGACGGCCUUCGGGUUGUAAACCGCUUUCGCCUGUGACGAAGCGUGAGUGACGGUAAUGGGUAAAGAAGCACCGGCUAACUACGUGCCAGCAGCCGCGGUGAUACGUAGGGUGCGAGCGUUGUCCGGAUUUAUUGGGCGUAAAGGGCUCGUAGGUGGUUGAUCGCGUCGGAAGUGUAAUCUUGGGGCUUAACCCUGAGCGUGCUUUCGAUACGGGUUGACUUGAGGAAGGUAGGGGAGAAUGGAAUUCCUGGUGGAGCGGUGGAAUGCGCAGAUAUCAGGAGGAACACCAGUGGCGAAGGCGGUUCUCUGGGCCUUUCCUGACGCUGAGGAGCGAAAGCGUGGGGAGCGAACAGGCUUAGAUACCCUGGUAGUCCACGCUGUAAACGGUGGGUACUAGGUGUGGGGUCCAUUCCACGGGUUCCGUGCCGUAGCUAACGCUUUAAGUACCCCGCCUGGGGAGUACGGCCGCAAGGCUAAAACUCAAAGGAAUCGACGGGGCCCCGCACAAGCGGCGGAGCAUGCGGAUUAAUUCGAUGCAACGCGUAGAACCUUACCUGGGUUUGACAUGGAUCGGGAGCGCUCAGAGAUGGGUGUGCCUCUUUUGGGGUCGGUUCACAGGUGGUGCAUGGCUGUCGUCAGCUCGUGUCGUGAGAUGUUGGGUUAAGUCCCGCAACGAGCGCAACCCUUGUUCACUGUUGCCAGCACGUUAUGGUGGGGACUCAGUGGAGACCGCCGGGGUCAACUCGGAGAAAGGUGGGGAUGACGUCAAGUCAUCAUGCCCCUUAUGUCCAGGGCUUCACGCAUGCUACAAUGGCUGGUACAGAGAGUGGCGAGCCUGUGAGGGUGAGCGAAUCUCGGAAAGCCGGUCUCAGUUCGGAUUGGGGUCUGCAACUCGACCUCAUGAAGUCGGAGUCGCUAGUAAUCGCAGAUCAGCAACGCUGCGGUGAAUACGUUCCCGGGGCU